AUACGGAGGGUCCGAGCGUUAUCCGGAAUCAUUGGGUUUAAAGGGUCCGUAGGCGGGAAUCUAAGUCAGUGGUGAAAUCUUGCAGCUCAACUGUAAAAUUGCCAUUGAUACUGGAUUUCUUGAAUUAGUGUGAAGUGGUUAGAAUGUGUAGUGUAGCGGUGAAAUGCAUAGAUAUUACACAGAAUACCAAUUGCGAAGGCAGAUCACUAACACUAUAUUGACGCUAAGGGACGAAAGCGUGGGGAGCAAACAGGAUUAGAAACCCCGGUAGUCC
rnacentral:rRNA from 1 species